GGGCGCCUCCGCGCUCCCGCCUCCUCCUGGCAACCUGGUGCGCGGCUCCGGACCUGGCGACCCACGACCGGCUGGUCACUUGCUGCCACCUCGCAAAGGCGCAUCUCUAGUUCAGUGGUGAGCUGCGGCCGGGUCGCUGCAACUCGCUCCAGGCCUCCGGACUCGUGGCCUCGGUGUCCCUCGCGGAGCCCUCGGUGUGUCGCUUGCAGGCUCUUUUUUUGAAGAAAGCAGGGAGGGAAUGGCCUUGUGAGAGACUCCAGGAGCAAAGAGCGACCCUCACAAGGCCCAAGUCCUCCCAGAGCUCAGGGAAGCUGUCGCUUCUGACAGAAGAAGGGAGACAAAGCUCCCUCCUGUGUGUCCCUGGUGGUCUAGUGGCUAGGAUUCGGCGCUUUCACCGCCGCGGCCCGGGUUCGAUUCCCGGCCAGGGAAUUGUUUUACACUGGCCGCCCUCCCGCAGGAAUCUUCCUUCACUACGCUGUCAGCCGGCCUGCUCCAAGGGCCAGAAGCAGAACAGUCUCCGCAGCGGGGUUAAAGCCGGGCGAAGGAGGGCAAGUGCUGGUGGACCACCUCUCACGACACACCGUUCCUGUUUAUCUCAGUGUCCGUCAUCCGCGGGAGCAGCUUUAGAGAGCGACUGAGCGUCUCGCUCCGGUGUACACAGCCCGGCAAAGAUGCCAGCCCCCGUGGAGCUGCACCCAAUAAGCCCACCUUCUUUCCCGUCGCCACCCCGGAGACGCCCAUCGGGCUGAGCUGCGAAUAACUAAGAGAGAGGCCAAGCCAAGUCGUGGCGUUUGUGGCAGCCCCGGACACGGGCACCAGCCAGUCAGCGGAGCCUCCUCACCUCCGUUGCCAGCGAAGGCGCUCGUUAGGCCUUGGGAAGAGGCGACCGGAGGCGAUGCCCGCGAAUUUGUUAGGGGGGGGAGAGACCGUGGUCACGAAGGGGGUUCUCCCAGAGUGAAGCUUCUUCAUCUCACUCUAGAGUUGCUGAUCCCUGUGAUUUCCUCCAUGUGGGAAACGGUGUUUGUGCUAGAAGAGGCUGCGCUCUUUACCUGACAUAACGGGGUUCAAGACUGACAACGCCUCACGCCCACCCGAAAACGUUUACAUGGCUUCCUUGUCUCUUUUUUUUUCUGUCCUAAAGUCGCCUCAUCUUCACAUCCCCUCUUUUUUUUCUUCCACACUCGAGAGUGUCUCUCUCUCUCAGUAAAAGCUCCACCAAA
rnacentral:lncRNA from 1 species